rnacentral:misc_RNA from 1 species
ACCAGCGAGUGAGUGAGGUCGAGGGAAGGAAGAAAGAAUGUUCCCUUGGGUGAAACUUGUUCUUCACCUGCCGCUGGAGGAGUUACCCGCCAUGACUCACUAGCUCAGCCGCUGGAGGAGUUACCCGCCAUGACUCACUAGCUCAGCCCAGGGAGGAGACACUCUACCAGCCGCCAUGGAGGAGGAACAACUUGACCCGAGGGUACAGAUUGAGCUGGAGAAGCUUAACACUGCGACUGAUGACAUCAAUAAGCUGGAGGCCAAGUUAGAGGAAGCCAAUAAUGUGUUCCGAGCAACUCUCAGCGAAUCCACGGCCCGCCUCAAGGCCAUGGCCAAGAAACUGGGCGGCUGUAUCGAGAAGGCCCGGCCAUAUUACGAGGCUCGAGAGUUGGCCAGAACGUCCCAGCUGGACUGUCAGAGGGCCGCCGUCCAGUACCAGAGAGCUAAUGCCCUACACCAGGCGGCCAAGGAAACGAUCGCUCUGGCUGAGGAGAGAUUCGUUAACUGCCGACACCAACACUGGCAGUUUGACUCGGCUUGGCAGGAGAUGCUUAACCAUGCUACUAUUAAGGUGAUGGAAGCGGAGGCACAGAAGGCUGCCAGUGAGAGGGAACACAUGCGUCGAGCCUCGGUGUUCCAGCAGGCGGAACAACGCGUCCAGCAGCUACAGCGCGGCCUGAGGUCCUCUAUCAACAAGUCGCUGGUUUACUUCGACGAGAAAAAUAACAUCCAGUCGCAGUUAGAGAAUCAGAAGGAUAAAGUUCAACAGUUACAGCGAGCUAUCUCUGCCUCCAAGACGUCUUACGCCCAAUCGUUGAGGAGCCUCGAGCAGAUUUCCGAAGAGAUUCAUCAACAGCGGAGGUGCCGUCUGCCGAGGGAGCCGGGCGUAGGGGCUGAGCUGACGCCACCAGAGGCCGUCGAGACCCUCUUGAGUGCCCACCAUGGUGCCAGGCCCUUUGUCCCUCUAGAGGAGAUGACCGCACAGGAGGAGAAGUACUGGGAAACAUUACGUGAAAAACUGGAGAAACUUCAAGUAAGUAACCCGGAUGUCAUGCCAUCGGCCGAGGGGGAGGAGGACGAAUCUUUGUCCCUCUGUGCCUCUCCUGACGGCCGGGAGAGAACGGUGACGGGCAGCAGCAGCGGCGGUGACCUAGACAGGGUGGUCAGCGGGGAGAGCUGUCCCGAGUCAGAGAGCGACGAGGUCCACAGUCCGGGAGAGAGGACGGUAAUAUCCCUCGACGACGUCUUGAUUCACGUUCCCCUCGACGUCGACCGGGAGACGAUGCCAGGAGCCGUCGACCUCGAUAACGUCUUGACUCGCGUUCCCGUCGACGUAAACAUCGCCCGGGAGACACCGAUAUAUCUCCACCGCGACGACAGUACAAAUACGUCCGGGAGUGUUUAUCAGCGGCCGCCACAGCCUCGGAGAACUCCAGUGGGGUGUGAUGGGUCGGUGAAGCGAGGGGAGGUGAACAGUGAAGCCGUGAGAACUAUGGCCCCUAUUAUGAGCAACGAGGUGAUUAAUGGCUCGUUAGCUCCUGUUUUGAGUAAUGAGGUGAUUAAUGGCUCGUUAGCUCCUGUAAUGAGUAACGAGGUGAUUAAUGGCUCGUUAGCUCCUGUUUUGAGUAAUGAGGUGAUUAAUGGCUCGUUAGCUCCUGUAAUGAGUAACGAGGUGAUUAAUGGGUCGUUAGCUCCUGUAAUGAAUAAUGAAUUAGGUGAUAGUUACAAAAACAAGAAUGAAAUGAGUGAUAACAGACUGAGAAACACGGAUAACGACCUCAGACUGAACGCAACUGCUCGUUUGGACGGCUGGAACGGUAACGAUGGGGUUAUAGACACGGGUGGACCGAACGACCAUGGUAAUGACCGCGUAGACGAUGAUAAUGAUGAUGGUAAUGUUGAUAAUGAUGAUGGUAAUGUUGAUAAUGAUGAUGGUAAUGAUGAUGGUAGUGAUGAUGGUAGUGAUGGUAGUGAUGAUGGUAGUGCCCCAGAAGGUGGUUCUUCCCUCUCUAGGCCUCCUGCUAUGUGCCAGCCUAGUAGAGCAUUGAACGUUAUACCUGAAGCUGUGGAGACUACUUAGGGCCCUCUCGGUCACUCCUGGGCCCUCAUUGUCACUCCUGGGCCCCUUAAUGUACCUCACAGGCCCCUAAACAUAAACUGUUUAUACAGGGGGUAAAUUAAUAUCUUUUCAUUUAUUGUUAUCUAAUCAGUGUCAGCAGGCAGGAGGUACUGUCAGCUGUCAGGAGUUAGUGUCAGCAGUCAGGAGGUACCAUCAGCUGUCAGGAGCCAGUGUCAGCAGUCAGGAGGUACUGUCUUGAACCAGGUGUAAUUCGUUCACAGGAAAGAUUUCAAAGUUAAAGUUAAAUUUUUGAUAAUUAUUUUUGUAUUGACACAUAAUGUAUGUUAUUUUGUGAAGCUGGUGGUCGAUUAUGGCUCUUAAUUCUAGCAGUCAUAACUGGCUCUAUCAUGGCUCUUAAUCCUAGCAGUCAUAACUGGCUCUAUCAUGGCUCUUAAUCCUAGCAGUCAUAACUGGCUCUAUCAUGGCUCUUAAUCCAAGCAGUCAUAACUGGCUCUAUCAUGGCUCUUAAUCCUAGCAGUCAUAACUGGCUCUAUCAUGGCUCUUAAUCCUAGCAGUUACCAUCCAUAGUCAGUCCUAGCAGUUCAGCAACACUUAUCUAUGAGGAUUUUAAACCCAUAAGCUAAAUCCUUUUUAUGGGGUCAGGUUAGGUUAGUUUAAGCCAGGUUAGGUUAGAGAUGAGUCAAGCUAGAUUAGUUUAGGUUAGAGUUAGGUUGGGUUAGAGAUGAGUCAAGAUAGAUUAGGUUAGGUUAGAGUUAGGUUGGGUUAAAUCAGCCCAGGUUAGGUUGUUGAGUCAAGCUAGAUUAGGUUAGAGUUAGGUUAGUGUUAGGUUGGGUUAGAUCAGCCCAGGUUAAAUUAGAGUCAGGUCAAGCUAGAUUAGUUUAGGUUAGAGUUAGGUUGGGUUACGUUGGUAUAUGCUAGGACCACACUGCCCUGCCUCUAGUGCUAUACCUUACACCACAACACCGCUGAUAUAAACAUUACAAUAUUUUGCUUUCGGUGUUCCCGCAGACGUUCACCAGCCCUGUGUUGUGGGGUCAACUUCGUGCAGCUCAGUGGUAUGGGGUCAAUAAUGAACACAGAACAGGAGAACUUUGAACAAUAACUUGAGUUGAACUAAUUAUAGAGAUCAAUUGAAAUAAAAUAUUAUUCAAGUGUGUUUA